ACGCUGGCGGCAGGCCUAACACAUGCAAGUCGAACGGUAUCAGGAAGCAGCUUGCUGCUUUGCUGACGAGUGGCGGACGGGUGAGUAAUGUCUGGGAAACUGCCUGAUGGAGGGGGAUAACUACUGGAAACGGUGGCUAAUACCGCAUAACGUCGCAAGACCAAAGAGGGGGACCUUCGGGCCUCUUGCCAUCAGAUGUGCCCAGAUGGGAUUAGCUUGUUGGUGAGGUAACGGCUCACCAAGGCGACGAUCCCUAGCUGGUCUGAGAGGAUGACCAGCCACACUGGAACUGAGACACGGUCCAGACUCCUACGGGAGGCAGCAGUGGGGAAUAUUGCACAAUGGGCGCAAGCCUGAUGCAGCCAUGCCGCGUGUAUGAAGAAGGCCUUCGGGUUGUAAAGUACUUUCAGCGGGGAGGAAGGUGUUGCGGUUAAUAACCGCAGCAAUUGACGUUACCCGCAGAAGAAGCACCGGCUAACUCCGUGCCAGCAGCCGCGGUAAUACGGAGGGUGCAAGCGUUAAUCGGAAUUACUGGGCGUAAAGCGCACGCAGGCGGUCUGUCAAGUCGGAUGUGAAAUCCCCGGGCUCAACCUGGGAACUGCAUUCGAAACUGGCAGGCUUGAGUCUUGUAGAGGGGGGUAGAAUUCCAGGUGUAGCGGUGAAAUGCGUAGAGAUCUGGAGGAAUACCGGUGGCGAAGGCGGCCCCCUGGACAAAGACUGACGCUCAGGUGCGAAAGCGUGGGGAGCAAACAGGAUUAGAUACCCUGGUAGUCCACGCCGUAAACGAUGUCUACUUGGAGGUUGUGCCCUUGAGGCGUGGCUUCCGGAGCUAACGCGUUAAGUAGACCGCCUGGGGAGUACGGCCGCAAGGUUAAAACUCAAAUGAAUUGACGGGGGCCCGCACAAGCGGUGGAGCAUGUGGUUUAAUUCGAUGCAACGCGAAGAACCUUACCUGGUCUUGACAUCCACAGAAGAAUCCAGAGAUGGAUUUGUGCCUUCGGGAACUGUGAGACAGGUGCUGCAUGGCUGUCGUCAGCUCGUGUUGUGAAAUGUUGGGUUAAGUCCCGCAACGAGCGCAACCCUUAUCCUUUGUUGCCAGCGAUUAGGUCGGGAACUCAAAGGAGACUGCCAGUGAUAAACUGGAGGAAGGUGGGGAUGACGUCAAGUCAUCAUGGCCCUUACGACCAGGGCUACACACGUGCUACAAUGGCGCAUACAAAGAGAAGCGACCUCGCGAGAGCAAGCGGACCUCAUAAAGUGCGUCGUAGUCCGGAUUGGAGUCUGCAACUCGACUCCAUGAAGUCGGAAUCGCUAGUAAUCGUGGAUCAGAAUGCCACGGUGAAUACGUUCCCGGGCCUUGUACACACCGCCCGUCACACCAUGGGAGUGGGUUGCAAAAGAAGUAGGUAGCUUAACCUUCGGGAGGGCGCUUACCACUUUGUGAUUCAUGACUGGGGUGAAGUCGUA
rnacentral:rRNA from 1 species